rnacentral:miRNA from 1 species
CAGCAGCACAACACGAUCUGUU